UGACAAGAAAUAACAAUACGGGGCUUAAUGUCUUGUAAUUGGAAUGAUGGGAAUUUAAACCUCUUCCAGAGUAUCAAUUGGAGGGCAAGUCUGGUGCCAGCAGCCGCGGUAAUUCCAGCUCCAAUAGCGUAUAUUAAAAUUGUUGCAGUUAAAAAGCUCGUAGUUGAAUUUCUGCUGCAUUUCAUUUCUCUUUCUGAGUUUGUUUUUGCGGCUUAUUUCGGUUUGAUUUUUUCUUUCCGGAUGAUUACUUUGAGAAAAUUAGAGUGCUCAAAGCAGGCUUUUGCCUUGAAUAGUUUAGCAUGGAAUAAUAAAGUAGGACUUUGGUUCUAUUUUGUUGGUUUUAGGUACCAAAGUAAUGGUUAAUAGGAACAGUUGGGGGCAUUCGUAUUUAACUGUCAGAGGUGAAAUUCUUA
rnacentral:rRNA from 1 species